rnacentral:rRNA from 1 species
CACGUAGGGUGCGAGCGUUGUCCGGAAUUAUUGGGCGUAAAGAGCUCGUAGGCGGUGUGUCGCGUCGGCCGUGAAAACCUGCAGCUUAACUGUGGGCUUGCGGUCGAUACGGGCAUCACUGGAGUUCGGCAGGGGAGACUGGAAUUCCUGGUGUAGCGGUGAAAUGCGCAGAUAUCAGGAAGAACACCAGCGGCGAAGGCGGCACUCUGGGCCGGAACUGACGCUGAGGAGCGAAAGCGUGGGUAGCAAACAGG